UGUUUUGUUUGAUUGUGAAUAUGAAGCUCACGUGUCUGAUUUCGGAACAGCAAGAAUAUUGAGUCUUCAUUCAUCAAAUUGGACUUCAUUUGCAGGAACAUUUGGCUAUGCAGCUCCAGAGUUUGCUUAUACUAUGGAGGUCACGGAAAAGUGUGAUGUGUAUAGCUUCGGAGUACUAGCACUAGAAGUGAUUAUGGGUAAACAUCCAGGUGACCUCAUUACGUCCAUUUUUUCAUCCCCAACCUCAACCGCUCAUGGAAUACUACUUUUAAAAGAUGUGUUGGAUUCUCGACUCUCUACUCCAACAAAGCAGGAAGCAGCGGAAGAGUUGAUUUUGGUUGCCAAGAUAGCAAUUGCAUGUUUAAAUAUGAAUCCACAAUGUCGUCCAAGCAUGCGACAGGUUUCUGUGUUGCUAAGCAAAGAAAGACAAUAUUCCUCCUCAAAUUCACUUUCACAGAUCACAAUAAGCCAAUUGUUCGGUCUUGAAUUUCCUACUCCCUAGAGGGUAGAGUAGGUUGAAGUCUUAUUCAUGCCAGGCCGGGCCUUGGAUUCUUUGCUUGGAAUUGAAUACAACUAACAUAGAUCAGAUCCAGAGUUCGCUUAUACUAUGGAGAUCACCGAAAAAUGUGAUGUGUAUAGUUUUGGAGGUGCUAGCACUAGAAGUUGAUGUGAUCUGAUCUGUUCUGCUUCACCCAAUUCAAGAAUCUCUCUCUACUAUAUAUGAUUAAGCCUUUUUCUGGGAUUAUGAAUGUUCCAAUUCGAUCUGCAAAAACCACACCAACGCUUCUCAGGCAUGCAUGCCUUGGAUUCAUUCU